CCCUUAGAUGUUCUGGGCAGCACGCGCGCUACAAUGGUCUUCGCAAACGGAUGCAUUCUCGAAGGAGAAUGCCAAUCUUGGAAUCUAUGCCUUGGUCGGGACAGUUGCUUGUAAUUUUUCGACUCGAACCAGGAAUUCCUUGUAAUCGUGAUUCAUCACAUCACGAUGAAUACGUCCCUGCCCUUUGUACACACCGCCCGUCGCUCCUACCGAUCGAAGAGUUAGGUGAAUUGUUUUGAUCGAUAAGAUUUGACUAUGGUCAACUCUCGUUGUGAAAUUCUGUGAAUCUGACUGUUUAGAGGAAGGAAAAGUCGUAACA
rnacentral:rRNA from 1 species